GCAGCUUCUGUUACUUCUUCUGGCUCGCUGCGUGAAAGCCUGAGGCGAUGUGAGCCAAAGUCUACCUCGGGCGGGUUUGGUCGUGUGCUGUGGUCAAGAGAAAAGACAAAACACAAGAUAAUGUGCUGAAAAUCAUGUCCAAUAAACAACAGUAUAUGUUAAUACUGCAUGUUGUAGUGUAAUGUAGAAUAAAUGCAGUCAAAUGUUCACUCA